GCCAGGCACAGUGGUGCGCGCCUGUAGUCCCAGCUAAUUGGGAGGCUGAGGCUGGAGGAUCACUUGAGCCCAAGAAUUCUGGCCUGUAGUUUGCUAUGCCGAUCGGGUGUCCGCACUAAGUUCGGCAUCAAUAUGGUGACCUCCUGGGAGCGGGGAACCACCAGGUUGCCUAAGGAGGGGUGAACCGGCCCAAGUCGGAAACGGAGCAGGUCAAAACUCCCGUGCAGAUCAGUAUAGGGAUUGUGCCUGUGAAAAGCCACUGCACUCCAGCCUGGCCAACAUAGAGAGACCCCGUCUCU
rnacentral:SRP_RNA from 1 species